AUUGAACGCUUGCGGCAGGCCUAACACAUGCAAGUCGCACGAGUGGCGGACGGGUGAGUAAUGUCUGGGAAACUGCCUGAUGGAGGGGGAUAACUACUGGAAACGGUAGCUAAUACCGCAUACCAUCAGAUGUGCCCAGAGGGGAUUGGCUUGUUGGGGGGGUAACGGCUCACCAAGGCGACGAUCCCUAGCUGGUCUGGGAGGAUGACCAGCAAAACGGGAACUGAGACACGGUCCAGACUCCUACGGGGGGGAGCAGUGGGGAAUAUUGCACAAUGGGGGAAAGCCUGAUGCAGCCAGGCCGCGUGUAUGAAGAAGGCCUUCGGGUUGUAAAGUACUUUCAGCGGGGAGGCGUUACCCGCAGAAGAAGCACCGGCUAACUCCGUGCCAGCAGCCGCGGUAAUAC
rnacentral:rRNA from 1 species